GUGACCCUUGCUGUGUCAGCCUUUCUAUGCAUGAUCAGUUUGCUGUGAUCUAUGGAAAACUCCCACCUCAGGAAUUUAAAGCCUGUGGAAUGACUCUGAUGGUGGAAUUUCAAGAAUCAAGGGAGGCAAGUGAAGACGCAACUUCAAAGCAACAGAGGUUUCUUAACACCCUUGGAUGUUUAGGACGAGAAGGUGAAAGGGCUUGAGGAGCACCUCUGUAUACUCCACACGAGAGACUGAAGAGAUGAUGUUGGCCCUUUCCAUUGACUAUCUGUCUGUUGCUGACGCAAUGGCACUGGGUUGCCCACCUUCCCACCAUCUCAGGUGACAACGUGAGCCUACACCACUCUCCGGAUGCACGG